rnacentral:lncRNA from 1 species
AAUGUAGUAAGUUUUAUUGACAUGGAUGAUAACUAUGAUGAAUAUUAUGAUGAUAGUUAUAAUUAUUCUAAUCAAAAUACCUUAGAGCAAAAAAAUAGAAAAGUUAGAGAAACAUAUACAAUAUUUUAAAAAAAAUUGAAACAUCGAGGUUAGUGAAAAAAUAUAAAAAUGAACCCUUACCUGAGAAAAUCUUAUGAUUCCACAUUCCCCC